AGCAGCCGCGGUAAUUCCAGCUCCAAUAGCGUAUAUUAAAGUUGUUGCAGUUAAAAAGCUCGUAGUUGAAUUUCGGGAUCAAUAUUUCGGUCAUGCCGUUGGUAUGCACUGUUAUCAUUGAUUUCUCACCUUCUAAAGAACCGUAAUGCCAUUAAUUUGGUGUUACGUGGAAUUAGGACUGUUACCUUGAAAAAAUUAGAGUGUUUAAAGCAGGCUCACGCUUGAAUACAUUAGCAUGGAAUAAUGAAAUAGGACAUCCGAUUCUAUUUUGUUGGUUUCUAGGAUCGAUGUAAUGAUUAAUAGGGAUAGUUGGGGGCAUUAGUAUUCAAUUGUCAGAGGUGAAAUUCUUGGAUUUAUUGAAGACUAACUACUGCGAAAGCAUUUGCCAAGGAUGUUUUCAUUAAUCAAGAACGAAAGUUAGGGGAUCGAAGACGAUCAGAUACCGUCGUAGUCUUAACCAUAAACUAUGCCGACUAGGGAUCGGAUGAUGUUAAUUUUUUAAUGACUCA
rnacentral:rRNA from 1 species